GAUGAAGAACGCAGCGAAAUGUGAUACGUAAUGUGAAUUGCAGAAUUCAGUGAAUCAUCGAGUCUUUGAACGCACAUUGCGCCCCCUGGUAUUCCGGGGGGCAUGCCUGUCCGAGCGUCAUUGCUGCCCUCAAGCACGGCUUGUGUGUUGGGCCUCCGUCCUCCUCCCGGGGGACGGGCCCGAAAGGCAGCGGCGGCACCGCGUCCGGUCCUCGAGCGUAUGGGGCUUCGUCACCCGCUCUUGUAGGCCCGGCCGGCGCUUGCCGACACAUCAAUCUUUUUUCCAGGUUGACCUCGGAUCAGGUAGGGAUACCCGCUGAACUUAAGCAUAUCAAUAAGCGGAUGA
rnacentral:misc_RNA from 1 species